rnacentral:misc_RNA from 1 species
GUCCGGAUCAGGAGCUGGUCAUGCGGGGUGGAACCCAUGAGCUUGGUGGCUGUAUCGAGGCCAUGGGUAAAGGUGUAGAUUCCCUUCAUGUGAAACAUCAUGAGGCUGCCGCUAGUUAUAGCGAUGAGCGAGUGGAGAAUGCAGAUGACAGAGAAGGAGGAGGAAAGCGAAGGCGAUGACAUCUGGGUUUGAUCUAAUAUGAAGUUUAAUCCCUAAAAAGGAAAGCUAUUUGGGAAGGAGAAGGAUUUCCAUCGUUGGGAAGAUGAGAGGAGAGGAUUGAAGAUUCCG